UUGUGGCGCUGCAGACGGUCCAAAGAUUUGAGCUGCAUCAGGUCAUUUCAGUCUGAAAGCAGCAGCCAGAGGCCGACCAGUAAUCAUGGACUGAACCAGAUUGAAAGUGAUUACAGC